GAAAUGCGAUAAGUAAUGUGAAUUGCAGAAUUCAGUGAAUCAUCGAAUCUUUGAACGCACCUUGCGCUCCUUGGUAUUCCUUGGAGCAUGACGGUUUGAGUAUCAUGAAAUCUUCAAAGUAAAUCUUUUGUUAACUCAAUUGGUUUCUACUUUGGUAUUGGAGGUCUUUGCAGCUUCACACCUGCUCCUCUUUGUUCAUUAGCUGGAUCUCAGUGUUAUGCUUGGUUCCACUCGGCGUGAUAAGUUAUCUAUCGCUGAGGACACUGUAAAAGGUGGCCAAGGUAAAUGCAGAUGAACCGCUUCUAAUAGUCCAUUGACUUGGACAAUACUUUUAUGAUCUGAUCUCACAUCAGGUAGGACUACCCGCUGAACUUAAGC
rnacentral:misc_RNA from 1 species